AAGACUAGAUGACACUGCUUGGCCCUGUGAAUAGAGCAUUCACAUUUAAAAAUGCCCAGAUGUAACUGUUGAUAGUGGCACCGUUCUCUGCAGUUUCUGCAGUCAGAAAGUUUUGUACCAUCAUAGUACUUAAAGCCUGAAAUAUCACCUCAACGCAAAGCAUUUAGCAGGGAACCUGGAGGUCUAGGCUAGCAUAGCCUCUGAUGCUAGCACUAGCAGCCAGCCUCAUCAAGCCACACUGGAGUGAAGAAUGGGGAAAGAAGAAAUCUGUGGCUCACAGCCAUCAAACGGCAGGGUAAAGACAGAAAGCUGUGGGAUCCAGCCAGUCACUACACCUACGUCUGUGGCAGGCACUUCAUCACAGAAAAAGAAAGCUCCCAGUUCAGUCUCUGCAUUAAGUCAGCCUGUCAGAAUGCUUCCCCAGAGAGUUUUGGAUUUGAAGUUCGUCCCAGCAGUUCCUCUGCUGGUGGCCCCCACUAGAGGAGUAAGGUCACAGUGGACCCGAGUGUCGAAACUUUCACAGAGCCUCCACAGAAAUCACGCACACUUAUUUUUACACAGUGUGUGUCAGUAAUGCAAAUUCAGUAGUCUAAGGACUGUCCUUCGAAUGCAACGGGAGGGUUC